rnacentral:rRNA from 1 species
UACGAAGGGGGGCUAGCGUUGUUCGGAAUCACUGGGCGUAAAGGGCGCGUAGGCGGCUUUAUAAGUCGGGGGUGAAAGCCUGUGGCUCAACCACAGAAUUGCCUUCGAUACUGUAGAGCUUGAGACCGGAAGAGGUAAGUGGAACUGCGAGUGUAGAGGUGAAAUUCGUAGAUAUUCGCAAGAACACCAGUGGCGAAGGCGGCUUACUGGUCCGGUUCUGACGCUGAGGCGCGAAAGCGUGGGGAGCAAACAGG